GCGCAUAUAGCUCAGCGGGAGAGCGUCGCGUUGACAUCGCGAAGGUCGUAGGUUCGAUCCCUACUAUGCGCACCA
rnacentral:tRNA from 1 species